AGCAAUACUGAGUGGCAAACGGGUGAGUAUAAUGUGGGAAUCUGCCUUUUGGUUUGGAAUAACACGGGGAAACUUGUGCUAAUACCGAAUAAGCCCUUACGGGGAAAGUUUUAAUGCCGAAAGAUGAGCCCGCACUUGAUUAGCUAGUUGGUAAGGUAAAAGCUUACCAAGGCAACGAUCAAUAGCUGUUCUUAGAGGAAGACCAGCCACAUUGGGACUGAGACACGGCCCAGACUCCUACGGGAGGCAGCAGUGGGGAAUCUUGCACAAUGGGGGAAACCCUGAUGCAGCGAUGCCGCGUGAGUGAAGAAGGCCCUUGGGUUGUAAAACUCUUUCGUCGGGGAAGAAAAUGACUGUACCCGAAUAAGAAGGUCCGGCUAACUUCGUGCCAGCAGCCGCGGUAAUACGAAGGGACCUAGCGUAGUUCGGAAUUACUGGGCUUAAAGAGCUCGUAGGUGGUUAAAAAAGUUGAUGGUGAAAUCCCAAGGCUCAACCUUGGAACUGCCAUCAAAACUUUUUAGCUAGAGUGUGAUAGAGGUAAGUGGAAUUUCUAGUGUAGAGGUGAAAUUCGUAGAUAUUAGAAAGAACACCAAAUGCGAAGGCAACUUACUGGGUCACUACUGACACUGAGGAGCGAAAGCAUGGGUAG
rnacentral:rRNA from 1 species